AGCAAAUUUUUGAUUUCUUUCACAUUCAAAUCUUUGACGAACGAGUAAUUCAAUCUAUUUAAACCUCAUUGUAUCAUUCUCAUUCCAUCAGCUUCAAAUCAUAAACCAUCAACAGAUUUCUCCAUUUGCUCUUUUCACAAAAUAACUCAAAUCUGCCAUUUCUCACUGCACAUCAUCAAUCGGUAAUUUUAAUAACUUUUGUAAAGUUAUUUCAUUUCAAGCAUAUCAAUAGUUUUCUUCAUUUUCGCCAAAACCAAGGCUAAACAGCAAAAACUUUGUUUUCAAAAAUCCAAUCAUGCAUACAUCUAUUUUUCUGUAAUUUUAUAUAUAUUGCUAAUUACAUGAAAAAGAAAAUAGAAAUAGAAGAAGAAAAAGGGGAAAUAGUGGGUGAGUGGCUGCUGCCGAUCCGGGAAAACGAAAGGGAACCGACUGAAAAGCUGCGCCGUGCGCUGUUGCUGGCGGAGGGCGGCGACCGGCGGACGGAAUCAGGGGGAGUUGGCUAGUAGGCGUCGCUGGGCGCUGCCGCGCCACGGCGGCCGGCGAAGAUGGGCAGGGAGGCGGCGACGGCGGUUGGGCGGCACCAGAUCUGGAAAGGGGGAAGGCGGCCUGACCGACUGUUGCUGUCGACGCGGCGGCAGGGCACCAAGAGGGAGCCGAGAAGAGGAGGAGAAGGAUGGGGGGGUGGUCGGUUGAGAGAGAGAGUGGGAGUGAGGAGGCUGCGUGAAGUGGUGUUUUGGAAUUGUGUGGGUAUGAUUAAAUUAGGGUGAAGGAAAAUGGGCUUGGGCUUUGGGUUUUAAGUUGGAUUAAAUUGGUGGGCUCGAUUUAAUUAAGUAAUUGGGCUUAAUUUUAAUUAUUUUGAGCUGCAUAUUUCUUUUAAUUAAGUUGGACUUGUCCUUAAAUUAUUUUACUAAUCAAAAUUUUCAUACGAAAUUAUAUCUUAUUAUUUAAAUUAUUAAAUCAAUAAUUUUAAUGGUCAUAUAUAAAAUUCUUAUAGUUUAAAUUAUUUUAAAGUUCAAACAGGCCCUUAUAUUUUUAUAUUUGAAUUUAUCUGACUAGGUGCAGCGCGACUAGGACAUAACUGUUGAUCUGAAAUUAUUCAAGUUAUCUAUCAAAUCCAUAUUUUCAGGUGUGGGAUUUAUUUCAGUACAUGCACGUGGUUAAUAUUUGUCCAUUUUAAUAUUAUGUGUUUACCGUAUGUGUUGUAAAAAUAUUUAUCGCUAGGGGCCAGCAUAAUUGGUCCAGGACUUCACCGUCCUUGGUAUGCCACAAUGCGAUUUCAUGUUACAGGGUUGCAACCAUUAUAUUGUCGCCAGGGGCCCACAUAUAGGGUCCGGGACAUUAAAGUCCUUGGAUUGCCACAGUGCGUAUGGAAUUUAUGUUACGUUAUGACAAUAUGUGUUACCAUUUUAUUAACAUGGACAAUUAUUGCAUGUUCCCACACUGAGUGUACCCUGUAUGCUCAUCCCAUAUUCAACAGUUUCAGGUGAUUGAUAUCGGAGGCGCGUGGAGAGUCGAAUGGGCGCGUCGAAUCUAUUUAAAGAUAAAUGUUUCCUAAAACAUAUUAUGUUAUUUCAUGUGAUAUCUUUUGGUUAUGUAAACUCUGAAAUUCUAUACUAUUUGAGAUUUGUGUGUGAUUUAUUUAAAUAAAUGUUGUUAUAUUAUUUUAAUGUCAUGACUUGUUUAAUUUAUAUUUAAAUUCAUUUCAAAUAUUUAUUUAAGAAUUUAUAUCUUUACGAAAAUAUAUACAUGGAUACAUACAUAAUUUUUAAUUAUAUAAAGAUUUUAUUUUGUUAUAUUUUCCGCUGCUAA
rnacentral:lncRNA from 1 species